UUCGUAAUUUUGCAUCGUAAUUUGGCGUCGUGUAUUUGCGUCGUUCCUGGUGUGUAAAGACCUUAAAGCUGUAACAUGCAAAGAGAUUAAGACAAUCUAGACACCCUUGCUUUCUUCUUAAACAAUUCACACAUUGUAUCUUGAAAAAUCUUGAAAAAUCUUGCCUGUGCGUGGAGUGAAAAUAUAUAUAAAAAUGUACACGUUUUAGAUCAUAGAUAUCACAGGUUUUCAGUUGUACCCAAGGUGUUGCAACAAGACAAGCUGUGCACCGAAGUUGCCGCAUGGCCUGAAGCUGUCCAUUCAACGGCUAAGCCACCUGCUUAUGCAUAUAAUAGCUCUAACUACUGUCAUUACAUGCUCCUCUGUGAGAGUCAAGAUGAGUCACAGGUGUUCAGAGAUGUUUGCUAAGGAUGCUCUGCCUUUUCUUAAGAAAUGCCCCCUGAAAAAUUAACUUCAGGUGACGGGGAGAUGUGGGUUUUUUUUUUUUUUUGUGCUUUUAACAGCCCCUUGCUGUGUUUGUCUGUGUAGGCGUGCACACACAUGCACACAAUUGAUGCGUAGGGGUGUGGAGUGGUCAACUGAUGAGGCACUGUGGAGGCUGAGAGCUCUGGAGAGUGCUGUGUGGGUUGGGAGCCUCUUCUUCUCCUCGCUGUAAAACACACACACACACACGCACAAACACACAUGCACGCACGGAAAGCUGGGGGAGGUGGAGGCAGCAGCGCUCGCUUUCACCGGCUGCCCAUUGAUCAGAGGAGAGGUUGGUAGACUUAAAAGAUCAGUGUAGGGACUGGUGGAGAGCAGAGAGAGGGAUGGAGAUGAGGAUACCUGUAGGAUAGAGAGGAAGAGAGAGCUAGAGAAAGUGAGAGGAGAAAAAGAGGCGAGGGUGAAAUAAAGAGGCAGAUCACGGCAUGUCUGGGGUUGCCCUGGCUUUUAACAGUCUGGAGGAAGCCUGCUGGUAAGCGCUUCAUGUUUUCUGUGUUCUUACUACGUGCCUUGUAUGUGCACAUAGCCUGACGCUUCUGUGCCCAUUUGUAUGCCUGUCCUGGUCUCGUGCUGCCCAUGCUUUGGUGUUUUUCGAGCCACUGCAGAGCUAGGGGGAUACCGGGCGUUUGUCUCCACAGUGCAGCAGCAGCAGCAGCAGCAGCACAAAUCUUCUAGGCUUCCCGUCCACUGCAGACAAAACCAUUCAGUCUGUUAUCUGUUCAAUUAAAAACAGCAGCGCGCUCUGGACUGCUGCUUCUGCUGCUGCUGCUGCUGCUGCAGGAUUCAUUCAGACUGUUCCAGUGUGUGUUUUUGAGAAGGUGUCAGGGUGGGAAAAAAAAAUCACACACAGACUUUGCUUUGCAUUUUCAAGUUGUCGCCUGGGAGGAAAAAAGAGGAGACAUACACCACAGAUGAUGCUUGUGCAUGCGUGAGAGUGAGUGUGUGUGUGCGCGUGUUUGAGCGUGAUUUGGCGUUUUCUAUGAAUGUCAGCUUAGUGUGAUGUUGUAGGAGGGAUUGACAGACUGAGUGGAGGCUUUGCGUUGUUCCAUCACAUGCAUACAUGCUGAAUAAACCCCCCCAUAUGGGACAUUAACGCCUUUAUUUCGCUUGUGCUGCAGGCUAUUCUGAAAACGCAAAAACAGGAUGAUUCCAAAGUAAAUCACAAAACACAGACUUUGUGCCUUUUUUUUAAAUAAUGACAAUAUUUCUAAGGGUUUGCUCUUUCUAACGAAGGUUGCACCGUUUAAUAUUGAGCAUAAAAUAGGUGCUGCUGCAGUCGGUGAUGAUGCAGUCUGUUGUUAAGGUGAAGCACCAAACCACAAGAUGACCCUCCAAAACCACCAUUCAGAACCUCAUUUAGGAUUUUGCCUGUUUUUUUUUUUUAAUUCUGCUUAUUUUGUUGCCAUUUUUUUUCCACCAAUAAAACAAAGGCGCUCGCUUGUGCAGUUUGAAGAUUCGAAACGAUAAACAAGCAAAAUUCAGGGCGUGAUUAUUCCUGAUUUGUGGACACAUGUGCAACAAGAAAAACCAUACGCAGCGGUGGGGAAAUGCAGCACUCAUGCAAGAAUUUCAAUAUGCUUUCAGGAUAAUUGUCAGUGGUUAUAAGAGAAGGGUGACACUAAAAGCACCACUCAUGCAACUGAUUUUGUGAGAUUUAAAGCUGCUUUUAGGAGGAUGUCAAAUGAUCCAAAGGAAGGGUGGUAUUUUAAAAAGUGUGCAUAAACAUGCAAAGGUGGGAUUCAGCACUUUAUGGGGGUAAAAAGGAGGGGAAACACUGCAAAUCAUCUUUCAGAUCAAUCCCCUUCUUUGCGCCUGGAUAUUAGAAGAUCCAGCUUUAACAACAACCUCUUAGACGCACGGAUUGGAUCUUUAAUGAGCUGACACUCAUUUCACGCAACAUUUCCUCUCAGCUCCUCUUCAUCACUUUCGACCACAUUCACUUGUAGCUCCCUCUGAGGUCCCCGCACCCCCCAGUUUGUGCAGCCAGCAGCUUCAAGCAUCCCCCCCUCCUCUUUUAUGAUAUGGAAGCAACACGCGUUGACGUGUCGCGCUGCGCUUCCGACCUCUAGUAUCGGUAUGCGUCCUGUGCGCACACACACACACGGGCAGAGCAGAGCACAGAUCAGCGCUCUCAUGGGGGACUUGCGGCCAGCAGACGCAGCCACGGUAAGUGGAGACACUUUUCAUACGGCGUUUUAUCUCUCAGGAGAGGAGAAGGCAAGUUUCCCCCAGCUCUGGAGAGUGGUUGUUGUAGUUGCUCGUGUUGGAAAAGGGAAGUUUGACAGAGUUUUUUCGGCAACAUUCCGGAGCUUGUCUGUGCAGAUUGCGCAACGCGGCGUGUGAUCGCUCAGAAAAACGUCAAAACAAUCCGGUAUUUCGCUUAUUACCCAACAUUCAGGUCGAUACUAAUCGCUGUCUUUGACGAAAAUCGGUCUCAUCACCUCAUUUGAGCUUUCCUUUGGCCAUGCGGGGCUCAUCCACGGAGCACACUUCAGCUCCUUCGCUUGGUUUCAAAGAUUUUCACGCAGCAAACUGCCUUUUCUCCAAACCUAAACGCUCAUCUAGAGCGCUGUCGAGCUUCCCCUCGUCUUUUUCUUUUUCUUCACUUUCAUGCUUUUUCGCUACUUUAAGGGCAAAGUGUGCUGCCUGGUCCCGUGAAUGUGAGGGGGGGCAAUGCGCAAAGUGUGUGGUCUCCAAGCUCUCCACCCCCGCAGAGACGCACGACUUGCGCGCACACACACACUCAUAGAGGAAUCGCGCACACGCACACAUACACAUUCUCUCACAGCUCCGUGUGUCUGUCACGCUCGGGCAUGGAUGUCUCUGGGUCUUAGGAAUGCGCCCGGCGUUUUCUCUGUAUUUUUCACAUUAGGAGCAGUUUGGGAACCGCUCUCAAAGCCGCUCUCUGAACCGCUGCCACCAGAGGCAAGCAAGCGGGAGGAAAACUUGCACUUCCGGUUACGUAUUUCACAAUAAAAGUCAACUUAUUGCAACAGUUAAAGGAGAAAAGUCAUCUUUGGCACAAAAACGAGAUCAAAAAUUUUCUCCUGAUAAAACUACGUUUCAUAUAUUUGGUUGUUUUCUCAUAGUAAUCAAUUUUGUCAAUCAACAAGUGGAUGAAACAUGGAUAUAGUCUUGGGAACAUCAUGCAUUCGUUUUUAAAGAGACAGUAGAGGUCUGGUCCAAGUGGUUGCCCUCAGAAAGAUGGCGUCCACCUUACUUUUGGUUGACCUAACAUGAGGCGGAGAGUUAUCAGACUUCAGCUUACAAUCUGCACACCUAUCAGUCAAACCAGCUACACCUUAAGAGACACCUAGCUACUUAUGCAAAAAUUGUAACCCAGCACCUCAAACGUCCCUACACACCGGGAGCGUUUUUUUCAUGCUAUUAUUUUGGACGUCAAUAUUUUUUUUCAAACUCGCAUCCUGUCAAUACAAGCGUUCACAUCAGCGAUGUUUCCUGUCCUGUGAUAUUCUGGUAUUAUUUUGGAUCAUGGUCGAUUUUUUCUUAAGUUUCGCACACUGUGUGUCCACUUCUGACCAAUCAGAUUUCAUGUUGUUGCAACGUCUGAUUCACCAGUAUAUCCAACAUGGCCGACCUGCUAAUUGUUUACGUGUCGGAGAACAGAGUGCUUUUGGAUAAAAGACACAAACUUUACAAAGAUAAUGACCUGAAGGACAACUUGUGGAGAGUCAUAGCGUCAGAUUUCUCAUAUGACGAUGAUAUGACGACAGUUUGCUAAAUGUCUUUGUUUUAACUUUCAUCUGUGCUAACAUAACUUUAGCUCGUAAGCUAACCUGUUCAGAUACAACAUACCAUAUGUAUUUUCACUGUCUCAAAC